AUUCAACCAACCAACCCAGAUGGUACAACCAUCUUGUUAUUUUAAAAAAAAUUGUGGGCAAAUUUUUGUUAUUUGUUAGCUGUUUGCUGAUAUUAAACUUUUGGAAGGUAAAAAUUAGAGUCUUUAUUGCAUGCGCUAGAACGGUUGUUGAUGCUGCCAAUCUUUGAGGCACAUUCCUAUGGGCUUAAUUUUCGAGAUCAGCACACAAUGAAUGUAACCAAUGUAAUGCACCUGGGUGAGUGGUGGCAUGUAAUGAAUGUUACGGUUUCAUAGUCUAGCUUGGACUAUAGACAAUUUGGCUCAAGCCAAUAAACUAUUAAUGUUAGUUUUUUGUAGAAGAAAAUUUUAGAGACAUUCACUUUUUUAGAGAGUUGUAUAUUGAUUUUUUCUUUUUGAUACAUUGUUGUUUUUGAUAAUUUAUUAAGAUGAAGCUCAGUCCCAUGGCAUCUCAUGGCUAUUCUCCUUCUUGGAUAAACGUUAUAUCAGUUAAGCCUAGUUUAGUCCAAUAAACUUGUCCCCUUAUCAUGAAGCUUAGACUAAUUGAGAGCCCAUUUGAUAUUGUUUUCAUUUUUUAUUUCUAUUUUCAAAAUCCCAAGAAGAAAGCAUAAUAGACAAACAACCUGCAUGAUAGAAACCAUUUUGCAUUUUCAAAUUUGUUUGAUAAAAACUUUCUCAGACUUUGGAAACAUAAACUUAUUGCUUUCAAAAAUAAAUGAAAACAUAAUGAACGUAUAGUUUGAGUCUCAUGGGAAUGCUGUCAGCCACAUCAAGCUCCAUGCUACUUUUUGCUAAUUUGUGGAUAAAGAAAGUCACAAAAAUGAUAAUAGUAUCAAACAGAUCCAUAGUGUUUAAGCUAGUAUAGCAUUUAGGUUUGGUAACCGUGACUUGCUUUCGUUGAUAAUUGCUAUGCGUACUCUAGAGUUGUAUUCUAGAGUUUUUAUGUUAUUGGCUGAUGAAUUGUCUUGCUUUUCAAGGCUUAGUUACCAACCUUCCAUUCAAUAGUUGAUCAUAAAAUCUAGCUUGCAGCUUUUCAAUAGACUUGCAAGGGCCCUCUGGUGGAGAACCUCCGGAGGAGGAGGAGGUGGAGAACCUUCGGAGGCACUUCGCGAUGGUCCUCAAGUUGUCGGAGGACUAAUCAAAGCCGGUAGGCAGCCUUGGGAGAAAGUUGCAGUCGUUAUUUGGAGCCUUGGUCGAUGGGUUCUGUUGAAGUGGGUGCCUUGUGAGGUGGCGGCGCAUGGAAAGCUUUAGUAUAAGGUGGAGGUGUCUCCCCUUGCCGACGACCAUUUGGUGGUUAGGUUCAAAUUGGAGGAGGAACGGGACACACUCUAUUCGGUGGCCCUUAGGUGGUGGCGGGUGAGCUGUUGGCGGUGGAGCCAUAGGCUCCUGACUUCAUCCCUAGCCUGGACGUUGUCAAAUCGGCGGAGGUGUGGCUGUGGAUGUUGAAGCUCUUGGUGGAGUACUGAGACAAGGAUAUAAUCUUGCAGAUCACCUCAGCUGUAGUUCAAUCGUUAGUCAUGGAUGGCUUUACCGACUAGUUGAAGAAGUUGGAGCUAGGGUUAAGUUGGCCAUUGAUGCCAAUGAGCUAUUGAUGCCGGAGAUUCAAGUUAAGAGGAGGAAUAAGGUUUUGGGGUGGCCUUUCAUGUACGAGAAUGUUCUGGAUUUCUGCUACCAUUGUGCGUGAAUAGGGCAUGCAGAUGAAGAGUGAAAUUUUCAGUGCCGGAGCUAGCGGUGGAGUUGUAAGAUUUGCAGGAGCGUUCAAGGUCCAUGGCUCCAAUGGUGGUGGAGGUAGGCGGAGGCUAGGGGAUUGGUGGCGAACCUGAUACCAGCUUGGACGAGCAAGGUUUGAGGCCUAUUUUUGGCCCUUGGCUGACGAUUGCGAGGAUUCGGCCGUAAAUGGGACUGCCGAGGAUGAGGAAGAUGACUGAGUAACGUUGGAGUUGUCAAGGCUGGGUUCCUCUUCCUCACGGGUGAGCUUCCCCUCCAAUCGUCCUAGUUUUCUUAGUUCGUCGUCGAACUCGAAUGGGUGGCAGAAGCCGACGAAGGUAGUGCAUCAGCGAUCGCCCUCGAAGGACUAGGUGAUCGUUGAUGGCGAUGACUCGGGUGCUGUGGAUGAGCAAGGUUGGAGGCCUAUUUUUGGCCCUUGCCUGAUGAUUGCGAAGAUCCGACUAUCAUAGCUUUGAAGGGGUUGUUGAGGAUGAGGAAGAUGACCGUGUAACCUCGAAGUUGUCAGGGUCGAGUUCCUCGUCCUCACGACCGAGCUUCCCCUCCAACUGUCCUAGUUUUCUUAGCUCGUCACCGGACUCGAAUGGGUGGUAGAAGCCGACGAAGGUAGUGCAUCGACGAUCGUUCUCGAAGGACCGGGUGUUAGUUGAUAGUGAUGACUCAGGUGCUAUGGCAACUUAGGUGGGGAUCCGAAUCGGGUCAGGGUUCGACCUGUUGAGAGACUCGACUGACUCGAUUGAGGAGACUGGCGGGGCCGGGCCAGGGACGAGCUAUCUGGUGCAUGGAACUAUAGGAGGGCAGGCAAGCCCCCCUUUAUUUCCUCAUUUAGGAGACUGAUUCGGAUGUAUGGCCCGGUCAUUUGUUUUUUGUGUGAAAUUCAGCUUUCUAGAGACAGCCUCCUUCAAACACGGUGUCGGUUUCUAGCGACCUGGGAUUCUUAUGUCAUUGAAUCACUAGGUUUAUUGGGGGGUAUCAUUGUUUUGUGGAAGCGGGAUGUAGCCACUGUGGAUUUUUUCUAUAACUGCCCCCAAUAAGUUGUAAUAGUAAUUUUGGAACAUAAUGAACCUCCUUUGAUUUUGUCGAAUGUGUGUUCUGGUACCGACUUCAGAGUGAGGAGGGCCCUAUGGGGCGAGGUGACUAAUCUUGUUGCACAAGGUAUUCUGACCUUGAUUGCUGGUGAUUUUAACUACAUUUAGGGGCCCAUGGACGAUAGAGGAGGCAAUGCCUAUAGUGACAAAGUCGAAAGAAGGGAGUUUCAUGACUUCACGGGGGCUAAUGGGUUGGUGGAUCUUGGCUUCUUUGGAUCGAGGUUUACUUGGUACAACCAUUUUGGUCAUGCCAGAGUAUGGCAGAGGAUUGAUAGGGUUAUAGCCUCGACGAGUUGGAUUCAACACUUUUCUAUCUAUUAGGUUUAUCACCUUUUUCAGAUCGCUUCAUAUCAUCGUCCGCUCUUGAUUAGCAUUGUUUCUAGCACUUGUCACCACAACCCAUUUCGCUUUGAGAAGAUAUAGUUGUCGAAUCCAAAGUCUUGGGACAUCGUCCGUGGGGUGUGGGGGAUUUGGUGCGGGAGAUGCUAUGCGGAGGGUCACCUACAAAUUGGAGCUCACUAAGUGGAGGUUGCGAAGAUAGAACUGGAAGGUAGCGGGUGAUAUCUUUAGAAGUUUCAAUGAGGUGAUGCAUUUGUUGCUGACCUUUAGGGAAUAGAGGAUAAUAGUGGUGUCUUGUUAGAGGAGGAGCUAGCUGAUUUUCGACGAAAAUUGGCUACACAUCAUUUUUUUUUGCGGCAUGAGGAGGUAUUAUGGCGGCAGAAGUCAAGAGUUCCGUGGAUUAGAGAAGGGGACAUGAACAUUAGGUUCGUCCUCUGAUCUACCAUCAUCAAGAGAUAGAGAAACUUGGUCCGAUUGUUGAGAGAUGAGUCUGGCAAAGUGUGGAGGAGGCGAGCGGGGUUAGAUAGGUGAUGUUCGAUUUUUUCAGAUCCAGGUGGAUGGAGGGCUGCGAUCGAGAGGUGGCCAACUAUUUUUUGCCCCUAGAUGUUGGGGUUGGGAAGCAGAGAAUGCUAGACUCGUCGAGUCGGUCUUGGAGAUCGAGGUGGUGGGGAGGGGCAUUUUGGGCCUUGGUGGAGGAUAAGCCCACCGCGGUACACCACUCAAUCUCCUCCGAUUACAACAAAAGUGUACAAACAUGAAGAUCCUCAAAAACCAAGAGAGACAUUUUGAUGCUCCUAUCUACUGAGUAAUACCCACUGAGUAAUAUGGAUGCAUUAUGAAACCCAAUUUCAUACUUGGUGAUGCUUAGUAUACUUGAAAGCCCACCGCGGGACACCAGAAACAUGCCCCACUGCCUAUAAAUUGGAUCAAGAGCCCUCUGACAAACCUAGUUGUGAUUCCAUAGGCUAUUCAAAUUUUCUUCUUUUUAGGAACUAAACAAUCUUAUAUCGCUGCAGUGAACCUAAUGUAUACCUUGGUAACUCUCAGCUUAAUGUACUCUACUUAUGCCUUGUUUUACUUCCAGCUUAUGGAUCAUGCCUAUGUUUUCUGUGGUAUAGUUUCUCCUCUGCAUAUAUAUGCACACCCAUUUAAUUCUCCAGAAAUUGGAUGGAGAUAAACUUUUAACUGUUUCAUUAUGGAAGCAGAAGCCUACGUCCCAUAACAUUCCUAAUGCAGGAUCAGCCUGCAGCAAGAAUUUUGGAGCUCUGCAUUCUUCACCUUGCAAUGGCAGAAGUAACAGUGCUAGGAACAAGGCACCAGAUUGUCAUAAAUGAGGCGGUUGAUCUUGCAAAACGAUUCUAUGAUGGCUGUGCUCCUAGGAUUAUCAAUGGAUGCCUCUGGACUUUUGUCAAAGAUUUCAGUGCAAUGGAUGCUGUUCAGUCUUUGGAUCAUCAAAAGCUUGAAAUUUAAGGACAUCUUUAUAGCAGAUCGGAGUGGAAGCAGCGGCAAAAGUUAAAGAAAUCCUCAUUCUAUUUGUCAAAGGCUAACGGUCAUGUAAAGUGGGAGUAGGGAAAACUGCAGGUUAAUUGUGGUGAUCAAAAGGACUUGAUAAAUUUCCAUUGGUUACUGGGAGAACCAAGGGUGAGGAGAAAACGAAAUGUACUUGGCCUUAGAAAUGAAUCACGAGAUCCAUAUUUUUAACGCAUGAUUAGAACCUUUAGUUUUAUUUUGAUGAAUAUUGUGCCCACAUCUGUAUUACAAAAUAAUUCAGACGAAUGCAUUGUAGAUUCUGAGUUUUUGUAUUACUGAUACCAUAUUCACAUAUUUGCAUUUUGUUGUACAA